rnacentral:rRNA from 1 species
GAUGAACGCUGGCGGCGUGCCUAAUACAUGCAAGUCGAGCGAACAGACGAGGAGCUUGCUCCUUUGACGUUAGCGGCGGGCGGGUGAGUAACACGUGGAUAACCUACCUAUAAGACUGGGAUAACUUCGGGAAACCGGAGCUAAUACCGGAUAACAUGUUGAACCGCAUGGUUCAACAGUGAAAGACGGUCUUGCUGUCACUUAUAGAUGGAUCCGCGCCGCAUUAGCUAGUUGGUAAGGUAACGGCUUACCAAGGCAACGAUGCGUAGCCGACCUGAGAGGGUGAUCGGCCACACUGGAACUGAGACACGGUCCAGACUCCUACGGGAGGCAGCAGUAGGGAAUCUUCCGCAAUGGGCGAAAGCCUGACGGAGCAACGCCGCGUGAGUGAAGAAGGUCUUCGGAUCGUAAAACUCUGUUAUUAGGGAAGAACAAAUGUGUAAGUAACUAUGCACGUCUUGACGGUACCUAAUCAGAAAGCCACGGCUAACUACGUG